GACGAACGCUGGCGGCAUGCUUAACACAUGCAAGUCGAACGGGACGUCCCGGUCUAGGUGCGGACGGCUGGGUAAGAACUGGGAAGUAACCCUUGGGUUCGGUAUAACUCCCCGUGAGGUAUGCUAAGACCGGUUAGUGUCAUACGGGCUAGGAGUUGGCGCUUUGGGAUGGGGUCGGGUCAUAUUAGGUUGUUGGUGGGGGAGAGGCCUACCAAGGCCUUGAUGGGUAGCCGGUCUGAGAGGGUGAGCGGACACAGUGGGACUGAGAUACGGCCCAGACUCAUACGGGAGGCAGCAGUGGGGAAUAGUGCACUAUGGGCGGAAGCCAGAUGCAGCAACGCCGCGUGCGGGAUGACGGCCAUGGGGUUGUAAUCCGAUUUCGCCUGUGACGAAGCGUGAGUGACGGUAACGGGUAAAGAAGCACCGGCUAACUACGUG
rnacentral:rRNA from 1 species